ensembl:lncRNA
UUUCAGCCUGGGAUAAUGUACAGGCUGGUGGAGAGCAUGACCAGUGUCUGAGUGGUGAGAUAUGGCCCCACUUCCUGUCCAGGAGAACGUUUGACAUGAUCUGUGGUCUUCCCUCUGCUCCUGUGGCCCUGGACGAGAUCACACCAGGAAAUACGAGCCAGGCUGGAGAAGCUUAAGGCGGCCACAACCCUGGAGGCUGCUAGUGAGGUCAUGGAGGAGGAGUCUUUAAUUCUGCGUCCGCUGGGGGUCCUCAGCCCUGUCCAAACAUGGGAGGACAGGGAAGACAUUGUGCGGUUUGCUGCGAGGGGCUAUUUGGAUGUUUGGUUGUCAUGUGGACCAUUAAGAGGACUGGCUACAUUGGGCUUGCUAGAGGCAUCCUGCUGUAUUCAAGCAGAUAUUACUAGCCAGACCUCUCUCUGCAGUAGACCUCACGCUCUUCCACGUGAACUUCUCAGCCCCCGGUAGUGAUGAGAGAAUAGCUGAGAACAUAACGUAUGGCUACUGGAGGGACUGGCUUAUUGGGGUGGAGUGGAUGUGAGUCUCUGACCGUCAAGAAGCUUCUAGUCUUCGUGUCUGGCCGGGGGACACACUGAGCUUCCCCACACAGCCCACUAUGGAGUUCCCGCACACUCGGGGAGGGGGGGCGACGACACACAUACUCCAGACGUAGAGGAGUCCAGGACCUCAGGCAUACUCCAGACGUAGAGGAGUCCAGGACCUCAGGCAUACUCCAGACAUAGAGGCGACCACGACCUCAAGCAUACUCCAGACGUAGAGGCGUCCAGGACCUCAAGCAUACUCCAGACGUAGAGGCGUCCAGGACCUCAGGGAUACUCCAGACGUAGAGGCGUCCAGGACCUCAGGCAUACUCCAGACGUAGAGGCGUCCAGGACCUCAGGCAUAUUCCCGACGUAGAGGCGUCCAGGACCUCAGGCAUAUUCCCGACGUAGAGGCGUCCAGGACCUCAGGCAUAUUCCCAACGUAGAGGCGUCCAGGACCUCAGGCAUACUCCAGACGUAGAGGAGUCCAGGACCUCAGAAAGUACUCCAGACACUCAUGCUGGCUUGAGAAGCCUCAGUGGAGAAACCAGGUAGACUAAGACAGUGAGCAGGUCAAUGCCUCAGACAUCUAAGAACAAGACAGCUGUUUGGUCCUUGCAACAUGUGUCCCUCCAGUUAAAGAUCAGGUGUCAGUCUGACUGUUUCUUUAUUAUCUCUGCAUUAUCUCUGGGCAGUCCCAGGUUCACUAUCUACAGUAUGUGAAGUUUAUCCAGGGUGGUCCUCCUGAGAAACAAACUACAGACACAAAACAAGAUGCUGUCACCUUCACCCUGACUGGGGGUUCCGUUCUGGAACACUUUGUUGUUGACACAUCUGACGUGCUAAAGUUCUGUAGAUAAUAGCCCCUGGGCCAGAGGGCCAAAGAGGGAUCCACAUGUUUCAGCUUAUUGAUUACUGUUUUGGUGACUAACUUUUAUUCAUGGCUGUGAUUACUACAUUUGUUAUAGUCCCUGUCUUUUAUUCAUGGCUGUCAGAGGUAGUCAGUGGCUUUUCCAUGUCACUUACGUAAUUCUGAUUAUGUAAAUAGUUAAGCAACGAUGGUGGAAACAUCACCAUAUCACCCACAUUAAACCAGAACACAG